GACGAACGCUGGCGGCGUGCCUAAUACAUGCAAGUUGAGCGCUGAAGGUUGGUACUUGUACCGACUGGAUGAGCAGCGAACGGGUGAGUAACGCGUGGGGAAUCUGCCUUUGAGCGGGGGACAACAUUUGGAAACGAAUGCUAAUACCGCAUAACAACUUUAAACACAAGUUUUAAGUUUGAAAGAUGCAAUUGCAUCACUCAAAGAUGAUCCCGCGUUGUAUUAGCUAGUUGGUGGGGUAAAGGCUCACCAAGGCGAUGAUACAUAGCCGACCUGAGAGGGUGAUCGGCCACAUUGGGACUGAGACACGGCCCAAACUCCUACGGGAGGCAGCAGUAGGGAAUCUUCGGCAAUGGACGAAAGUCUGACCGAGCAACGCCGCGGGAGUGAAGAAGGUUUUCGGAUCGUAAAACUCUGUUGGUAGAGAAGAACGUUGGUGAGAGUGGAAAGCUCAUCAAGUGACGGUAACUACCCAGAAAGGGACGGCUAACUACGUGCCAGCAGCCGCUGUAA
rnacentral:rRNA from 1 species